GGUCAGUGCAGUAUGGAUAUGGGUGGUACAGUCAGUAACCAAUCAGAUCACUAGUGAUUUAUUCGGAGUAAUUGAAAACAGUGUAAUGCCAACUGUAAGAUCCAUUGUUGGAAAAAAGACAUUGAAAGAUAAAAAGCCAGAGUUAUUUAAGAAAUUCUGAAGGAAAUGGAAAUGUCACAGCAAAAUUGACCAGGAGAUAAACUGUUUUCAGUGCUGCGGACAACCAAUCUACUUGAUGAGCCUAAAAUGAUGAACUGAAAAAAAAGGAGUGAAAUAUGAUGGACUAUGACUUCAACAAAUCAAUGGGAAACAUCAGCAAGAUUCUUUCUAGCCGUUAAUUGCCAAUUCAGGCAAAAUAAAGUUGCAGAAGAGAAUUACAAUCAACCAUGUUGACGCAUCUGUUUGUGCCCAGUCGCCCAGAGAGAAUAAAGGCGGUGGAUUUGCUUUACUGAGAGAGAUUAACAUACUGGAGAGGUUUUUAUGACAGUCCUAUAGUUUCAGGAUCCUGAUUACUGAUGAUUGAUUUUAGUUACCAGUUUACCUAAUUAUUUGAAUUGAGAGCCUCGGCGUCUAGUAACUUCACCCCCAUUUGGCUGCAUGAGAAGGAACAUGUGGCUGAUCAUUUUCUUCCUGCUAUUCCACGGAAAUCAUUGUAAUAUUAAACUUUGAUGUAUUUCUUGGUAUUUUCAAAAGCUCACCUUUUCAGCAAUACUGUACAACACCUCAUCCAUCUUCAUGCACGUUGGAUCCCAAUCAUGACCAAAACGAAUGACUACAACGCGAUCUUCCUCCGACAGAAUGGCCUGGUCAACUUGCCAACCAUUGUGGAGAUGUGGUAACAUAUACGACAUUCUGGCAGAGUUAUAUUAACUUCCAAAACAAACUAAAACAAACAAAAGAGGGGUUAAUUUACUCCUAAACUGGGAAGUUCAACAUACAAUUACCAGCACUAUGAAGCUGAGAGCGGCUUUACAAAAUCAGUGGUAAUAAUUGGGAUGGCCUGACAUAAAAACAAUCAUAUUAGUGUAUAUAAAAACAUUUACAGCUAUUAUACUGGUUGAAGUAAUGAACGCUGUAAUUCUACGAAAUGAAAAUACUGUACAGAAUUUUCACCUUUUAUUUGCUCUCCUUAAUGUUCCACCCAUAUUGGUCCAUUUGGUCAGAAUGCACUGGAGUUUUUAACAGUCAUACAUAGAAUGAAUAAAAUAAAACAGUUUAUUUCAA